AGUUAAUUGUCAAACCUGGUCCUUCGGCUCUUUAUCCUUCUCUGUGAAUUUUGGAUUUUUCUCUGCAACGAUUUGGAUUUUGAUGUUUUGGACUUUUGAAUGUCGGGCCACAGAGGCAGCAGUCCAAUCAGAUCGAACCAGACAUCCCUCUCCCAAGCAACAUUUUCCAGCUCCACCUGGGGGAUCCCGAGGCAUCCCCAGACCAGAUGGGAUUUAUAAUCCCUCCAAUGAGUUCCGGGUCUUCCCCUGGGCCUUCUCCCAGUUGGAUGUGCCCGGAUCACCUCUAAAGGGAGGCGUCUGGGAGGCAUCCUUAUCAACUGCCCAGACCACCUCAACUGAGUCCUUUCGAUGUGGGGGAUAACAGCUCUACACCAAGCUCCCUCUUGAUGUCCAAGUUUUUUAAAUCUGCGAGUUGCGAACAUUUCCUGCAAUUUGUCUCAAUGAGGAGCGGGCUAUGAAAAUAUGUCUCAACUAUUUCAGAACACAUUCCUUGCAGCUAAAGUGACCUGGAGAGCCCGAACAACAGCCGUCUCUCCUUGUGUUGCAGUUCUUCUGCAGUAAUUAGCAUGCUAAUGGGUUAAUAAAAGUCUUCUGGCCUC